rnacentral:rRNA from 1 species
UCGGGUGCUGACGAGUGGCGAACGGGUGAGUAAUGCAUCGGAACGUGCCCAGUCGUGGGGGAUAACGCAGCGAAAGCUGUGCUAAUACCGCAUACGAUCUAUGGAUGAAAGCGGGGGAUCGCAAGACCUCGCGCGAUUGGAGCGGCCGAUGUCAGAUUAGCUAGUUGGUGGGGUAAAGGCCCACCAAGGCGACGAUCUGUAGCUGGUCUGAGAGGACGACCAGCCACACUGGGACUGAGACACGGCCCAGACUCCUACGGGAGGCAGCAGUGGGGAAUUUUGGACAAUGGGCGCAAGCCUGAUCCAGCAAUGCCGCGUGCAGGAAGAAGGCCUUCGGGUUGUAAACUGCUUUUGUACGGAACGAAAAGGUCUGGGUUAAUACCCUGGGCUCAUGACGGUACCGUAAGAAUAAGCACCGGCUAACUACGUGCCAGCAGCCGCGGUAAUACGUAGGGUGCAAGCGUUAAUCGGAAUUACUGGGCGUAAAGCGUGCGCAGGCGGUUUUGUAAGACAGGCGUGAAAUCCCCGGGCUCAACCUGGGAAUGGCGCUUGUGACUGCAAAGCUGGAGUGCGGCAGAGGGGGAUGGAAUUCCGCGUGUAGCAGUGAAAUGCGUAGAUAUGCGGAGGAACACCAAUGGCGAAGGCAAUCCCCUGGGCCUGCACUGACGCUCAUGCACGAAAGCGUGGGGAGCAAACAGGA